CGUCCUAUUAGCUAGUUGGUGAGGUAAUGGCUCACCAAGGCUACGAUGGGUAGGGGUUCUUAGUGGAAGGUCCCCCACACUGGCACUGAGAUACGGGCCAGACUCCUACGGGAGGCAGCAGUAGGGAAUAUUGGUCAAUGGGCGCAAGCCUGAACCAGCCAUGCCGCGUGCAGGAUGAAGGCUCUUUGAGUUGUAAAAUGCUUUUGUACAGGAGCAAAAAAAUCCCUGCGGGGGUUCUUGAGAGUACUGUAAGAAUAAGCACCGGCUAAUUCCGUGCCAGCAGCCGCGGUAAUACGGGAGGUGCAAGCGUUAUCCGGUUUUAUUGGGUUUAAAGGGUGCGUAGGCGGCUUAUUAAGUCAGUUGUGAAAUCCUAGUGCUUAACGCUAGAACUGCGAUUGAUACUAUU
rnacentral:rRNA from 1 species